rfam:Lentibacillus amyloliquefaciens strain LAM0015, complete genome.
UCUGGUAGCGAUAGCGGAGAGGUCACACCUGUUCCCAUGCCGAACACAGCAGUUAAGCUCUCCAGCGCUGAUGGUAGUUGGGGUUUAACCCCUGCAAGAGUAAGACGCCGCCAGGC